GACGAACGCUGGCGGCGUGCUUAACACAUGCAAGUCGAGCGAUGAAAGCCUUAUGAACUAUUCGUAGUGAUUGAGGCCGGAUUAGCGGCGGACGGGUGAGUAACGCGUGAGCAACCUGCCUUAAACAACGGGAUAGCCUCGGGAAACCGGGAUUAAUACCGUAUGAGACCCCGCCUUCACAUGAAGAAGAGGUUAAAGAUUUAUCGGUUUAAGAUGGGCUCGCGUCUGAUUAGCUAGUUGGUGAGAUAAAAGCCCACCAAGGCAACGAUAGGGAAACGGCUUGAGAGAGGGAACGGUCACAUUGGAACUGAGACACGGUCCAAACUCCUACGGGAGGCAGAAGUGGGGAAUAUUGCACAAUGGGGGAAACCCUGAUGCAGCGACGCCGCGUGAGCGAUGAAGGAAUUCGUUUCGUAAAGCUCUGUCCAAGGGGAAGAUAAUGACAGUACCCUUGGAGGAAGCCCCGGCUAAAUACGUGCCAGCAGCCGCCGUAA
rnacentral:rRNA from 1 species